rnacentral:misc_RNA from 1 species
AAGUCGUAACAAGGUUUCCGUAGGUGAACCUGCGGAAGGAUCAUUACCAAAUCCAAAUUCAAACCCCAUGUGAACUAUUGUAUAGUCUGUCUUUGGGAGAGAAAGAAAAUUAAAACAUUUGAAAUUAAAACCUUCACUUUUUUUUUUUGGAUUUUUCUCCCAAUAGAGUCCGGCGCAAUUUUAUUGUUGUGUCCAGAUUCGAAACCCCUUUUAAACCACUUGAUUUUUCUGUUGGAAUUAACUUUUAUUAAUUUUAAAUAAAAGACAACUUUUAACGGCGGAUCUCUUGGCUCGUG